rnacentral:rRNA from 1 species
AAACAUGUCUUUUUGGGUUAUUUUUAAAGUCUGACCUGCCCACUGAAUUAAUUUAAAUGGCCGCAGUAUUUUAACUGUGCAAAGGUAGCAUAAUCAUUAGUCUUUUAAUUGAAGGCUGGUAUGAAUGGUUGGACGAAGUAUAAACUGUUUCAUAUAAAAUUGAUGUAGAAUUUUAUAUUUUAGUUAAAAAGCUAAAAUAGUAUUAAAAGACGAGAAGACCCUAUAAAUCUUUAUAUUUAGUAUUAUAUUAAUUUUUUAGAUAUAUUUUGUUUUUAUUUUACUUAAUAUUUUAUUGGGGUGAUAUUAAAAUUUAACUAACUUUUAAUUUUUAGAAUCAUUAAUUUAUGAAAGAUUGAUCCAUUUUUAUUGAUUAUUAGAUUAAGUUACUUUAGGGAUAACAGCGUAAUUUUUUUGGGGAGUUCAUAUCUAUAGAAAAGUUUGCGACCUCGAUGUUGGAUUAAGAUAUAUUUUAGGUGUAGCCGUUUAAAUGUAAAGUCUGUUCGACUUUUAAAUUCUUACAUGAUC